UACGGGGGGGGUAAGCGUUGUUCGGAAUUACUGGGCGUAAAGGGCUCGUAGGCGGCCAACUAAGUCGGACGUGAAAUCCCUCAGCUUAACUGGGGAACUGCGUCCGAUACUGGAUGGCUUGGAUUUGGGAGAGGGAUGCGGAAUUCCAGGUGUAGCGGUGAAAUGCGUAGAUAUCUGGAGGAACACCGGUGGCGAAGGCGGCAUCCUGGACCAAUACUGACGCUGAGGAGCGAAAGCUAGGGGAGCAAACGGG
rnacentral:rRNA from 1 species